rnacentral:rRNA from 1 species
AGUGAACGCUGGCGGCAGGCCUAACACAUGCAAGUCGAACGGCAGCACAGUAAGAGCUUGCUCUUACGGGUGGCGAGUGGCGGACGGGUGAGGAAUACAUCGGAAUCUACUUUUUCGUGGGGGAUAACGUAGGGAAACUUACGCCAAUACCGCAUACGAUCUACGGGUGAAAGCAGGGGAUCUUCGGACCUUGCGCGAUUGAAUGAGCCGAUGUCGGGUUAGCUAGUUGGCGGGGUAAAGGCCCACCAAGGCGACGAUCCGUAGCUGGUCUGAGAGGAUGAUCAGCCACACUGGAACUGAGACACGGUCCAGACUCCUACGGGAGGCAGCAGUGGGGAAUAUUGGACAAUGGGCGCAAGCCUGAUCCAGCCAUACCGCGUGGGUGAAGAAGGCCUUCGGGUUGUAAAGCCCUUUUGUUGGGAAAGAAAAGCAGCAGGUUAAUACCCCGCGGUUCUGACGGUACCCAAAGAAUAAGCACCGGCUAACUUCGUG